UAACCUCCGCAGCUGGCCACCCCCGGGCUGGGCUGGGCGACUAUCUUUUCGAAAGGCUCACUCUCAAGCACGACUAGGAGC
rnacentral:pre_miRNA from 1 species